rnacentral:rRNA from 1 species
AUACGGAGGACGCGAGCGUUAUCCGGAUUCAUUGGGUUUAAAGGGUGCGCAGGCGGCCGUGCAAGUCAGCGGUGAAAGCCCGGGGCUCAACCCCGGAAGUGCCGUUGAUACUGCAUGGCUGGAAUGCGGUCGAGGCGGGCGGGACGGGGGGUGGAGGGGGGCAAUGCGUAGAUAUGCCACAGAACGCCGAUAGCGGAGGCAGCUCGCCAGGCCUGCAUUGACGCUCGGGCACGAAAGCGUGGGGAUCGAACAGGAUUAGAUACCCUGGUAGUCCACGCCGUAAACGAUGGGCGCUCGUCGUCGGCGGCAGACAGUCGGCGGCCAAGCGAAAGCGAUAAGCGCCCCACCUGGGGAGUACGGUCGCAAGGCUGAAACUCAAAUGAAUUGGCGGGG